rnacentral:tRNA from 1 species
GUCCCUGUCGUCUAGCCAGGCCCAGGACAACGCCCCCUCAGGGCGAGAACGUGGGUUCGAAUCCCGCCGGGGACGCCA